ensembl:Mt_tRNA
GUUAGAGUGGCAGAGCCCGGAAAUUGCAAAAGGUCUAAGCCCUUUCCACAGAGGUUCAAGUCCUCUCCCUAACU